GACAGAGGUGCCGAGCGUUAGGCGGAAUCACUGGGCUUAAAGCGUGUGUAGGCGGCCCGUUAAGUACCUUGUGAAAUCCCCCGGCUCAACCGGGGAACGGCUGGGUAUACUGGCGGUCUUGAGCCAUCCAGGGGCAGUCGGAACAGACGGUGGAGCGGUGAAAUGCGUAGAUAUCGUCUGGAACGCCGAAGGUGAAAACAGACUGCUGGGGAUGAGCUGACGCUGAGACACGAAAGCCAGGGGAGCGAACGGG
rnacentral:rRNA from 1 species